GACGAACGCUGGCGGCGUGCUUAACACAUGCAAGUCGAACGAAGUGGCGAACGGGUGAGUAACGCGUAAUCAACCUGCCCUUCAGAGGGGGACAACAGUUGGAAACGACUGCUAAUACCGCAUAGCGAAGGAGGGGGUUGGGGGUGAUUGGACAGUUGGAGGGGUAACGGCCCACCAAGGCGAUGAUCAGUAGCCGGUCGGAGAGGAUGAACGGCCACAUUGGGACUGAGACACGGCCCAGACUCCUACGGGAGGCAGCAGUGGGGAAUCUUCCGCAAUGGACGAAAGUCUGACGGAGUAACGCCGCGUGAGUGAUGACGGCCUUCGGGUUGUAAAGCUCUGUUAAUCGGGACGCGGUACCGGAAUAGAAAGCCACGGCUAACUACGUGCCAGCAGCCGCGGUAAUUC
rnacentral:rRNA from 1 species